rnacentral:misc_RNA from 1 species
GUACCUUCAAGCUCUGCUUGGUGUUGGGUGUUUGUCUGCGCCUCUGCGCGUAGACUCGCCUCAAAACAAUUGGCAGCCGGCGUAUUGAUUUCGGAGCGCAGUACAUCUCGCGCUUUGUGACUCAACCGCGGCGGCGUCCAGAAGUACAUUUUUUACAC